GCGGGAAUAGCUCAGCUGGCUAGAGCGUCAGCCUUCCAAGCUGAGGGUCGCGGGUUCGAAUCCCGUUUCCCGCUCCA
rnacentral:tRNA from 1 species